rnacentral:tRNA from 1 species
GCACAGUGGUACAGUGGUUAGCACAGUGGUUCACAUCCAGUAUGUUCUUGGUUCGAAUGCAGGUUGCA